UCGAGAAUAAUUCACAAUGGGGGCAACCCUGAUGGUGCAACGCCGCGUGGAGGAUGACGGUCUUCGGAUUGUAAACUCCUGUCAUCCGGGAGUAAGACCUGGCUGUUAAUAGCAGACAGGGUUGAUAGUACCGGAAGAGGAAGGGACGGCUAACUUCGUGCCAGCAGCCGCGGUAAUACGAAGGUCCCGAGCGUUGUUCGGAAUCACUGGGCGUAAAGGGAGCGUAGGCGGCGCGGGAAGGCCGCUGGG
rnacentral:rRNA from 1 species